GGAGUAGUUUUUAAUUUAGACUACAAGAUUAACUUUUAGUGUAAAAAACAAAUUAUAACUAAAUCCCGUCUAGUCACAUAUAGCCACUCCAACAAACCAUAAUCUCAGAACUCGGAUUAGAUACCCGACUACUGUAUGGCUCAACAUGCAUAAGAAUACUACGAGCGAAAGCUUAAACCUCAAACAAUGUGGCGGUGCUUUACUCCUCAUCAGGGGAUCCUGUGACUUAAUUCGAUAAUCCACGAAAAUCUUAGCUAAUCUAGACUUCCAGCUUGUGUAUGGCCGUUUAUGCUUGCUCUUAAAAGAAAAAAAAGGAAGCAAAAGGGUUACUAUCCCAAUAAUUCAGGUGACAUACAGCCAAUGAUUAGCAGAUUCAUGGGAUACAAAUAAACAUCCUAUCAGAUUUAAAAAUUCAAAUUUUUAAUAAAGGAGGACUUGAAAGUAAGGGUCACUCUACCAAAUGACCCUGAAUAAGAACUAAAGCGCGCACAAAUCGCCCGUCACUCCGACAAUAAAGUAGGACAAGUCGUAACAUAGUAGGGGUAAUGGAAAUUGCCCCUAUCACA
rnacentral:rRNA from 1 species